rnacentral:rRNA from 1 species
UACGGAGGAUGCAAGCGUUAUCCGGAAUGAUUGGGCGUAAAGCGUCCGCAGGUGGCUGUGUAAGUCUGCUGUCAAAGAGCGAAGCUCAACUUCGUAAAGGCAGUGGAAACUACACGGCUAGAGUGCGUUCGGGGCAGAGGGAAUUCCUGGUGUAGCGGUGAAAUGCGUAGAGAUCAGGAAGAACACCGGUGGCGAAGGCGGCCUGCUGGGCAGUUGCUGACACUGAGGCGCGACAGCGUGGGGAGCAAACAGG